rnacentral:misc_RNA from 1 species
UCUCCGUAGGUGAACCUGCGGAGGGAUCAUUAACAAAGUAGCACAGUGCGGGUAGCGUGACUGCGAGAGCAGGACGGUAACCGCGCUGUCAUUCGCGUUGCCGAAGUAGUGUUGGAGUGAGCGACGUGUUGUGUGUUGCGAGUUGCGCGUUGUUGCAGCGCAAGCUGUUGCCGUCAUUUUGGUCGCAGCGCAGCUGUAGCCACAACCACUCACAUUCGCACACGUCGCUUUGCUUCACACACUACUCGGCUUCACAUCAUAUUCACAUUCUACAACCCCUUAUAUAUCUCCAACAACUCAUACAACUUUUAACAAUGGAUCUCUUGGCUCUU